UGCAUGUCUAAGUAUAAGCGAACUUAUACAGUGAAACUGCGGAUGGCUCAUUAAAACAGUUUGAAUUUAUUUGAUGAAUGUAUGAGAAUACUACUUGGAUAACCGUAGUAAUUCUAGAGCUAAUACAUGCAACGACGCCCGACCGUUUCACUACGGAAGGGCUGUAUUUAUUGGAUACCAAAACCAUCCUUCCCUCGGGAAGUUUUGUUUGAUGAUUCACAAUAACUGAUCGGGUCGCCACUGUGGUGGCGACAGGUCAUUCAACAUUCUGCCCUAUCAGCUUUCGAUGGUUGUGUAGUGGACAACCAUGGCCAUAACGGGUAACGGAGAAUCAGGGUUCGAUUCCGGAGAAGGAGCUUGAGAAUUGGCUACUACAUCUAAGGAAGGCAGCAGGCGCGCAAAUUACCCAAUCCCGAUUCGGGGAGGUAGUGACAAAAAAUAACAAUACCGGGCCCUUUUUGGGCCUGGUAAUUGGAAUGAGGGAGAGUUAAACGGACCAUCGAGUAUCCAUAGGAGGGCAAGUCUGGUGCCAGCAGCUGCGGUAAUACCAGCUCCAAUAGCGUAUAUUAAAGUUGUUGCAGUUAAAAAGCUCGUAGUUGGACUUGUGUGCGCUGUCCGCGGGUGGCCUGCGCCCAAAAGGGCGUUUCGGUUCGGCCCCGGUGGCGCCUUGAAAUCUGCAGCUGGGGGGACGUUGGCCUUAACUGGUCGGCGACCGCACGCCGGCUGCUCGGUUACUGUGAGAAAAUUAGAGUGUUCAAGGCAGGCAUUGGGUGCAAUUGAAUACAUUAGCAUGGAAUAAUAAAAUAUGGCUCCUGCCGUAUUUUGUUGGUUUUGACUGGUGGGAGUAAUGAUUGAUAGGGACGGUUGGGGGUGCUAGUAUUGAGCGGCCAGAGGUGAAAUUCAUGGAUUCGCUCAAGACUAACUUAUGCGAAAGCAUUCACCAAGGACGUCCUCUUUAAUCAAGAACGAAAGUUGGGGGAUCGAAGACGAUCAGAUACCGUCGUAGUCUCAACCAUAAACUAUGUCGACUUGGGAUCGGCGGUAGUUUUUUCAUUAAGACACUGUCGGGACCACGGGAGAAAUCAAAGUGUCUGGACUCUGGGGGAAGUAUGGUCGCAAGGCUGAAACUUGAAGGAAUUGACGGAAGGGCACCACCAGGAGUGGAGCCUGCGGCUUAAUUUGACCCAACACGGGGAAACUUACCAGGUCCAGAGAUGUAGAGGAUUGACAGAUUGAAGCUCUUUCUUGAUCACUUCGGUGGUGGUGCAUGGCCGUUCUUAGUUGGUGGAGUGAUCUGUCUGGUUAAUUCCGUUAACGAACGAGACCUCAGC
rnacentral:rRNA from 1 species